AAAAUAUAAGAAUUUGUUAGUUUUCAAAACAACUAAAUAUACAAUUGUUUAAAGGGUCUUAUGACAUUAUCAAUGUGUGUGAGACUCUUGGUUAUCAAGUCAAAUUAGAAUGUUUAUAAUAUAUGAUUGGAAUUCUUUGUUAAAUAGAUGAUGUACACAACUCCUAUGAAAGACAAUAUGUCUACAAGUUAUUAUGAUGCAAAGAGGUUGGUCUUAAAUUGGGGUUAAAUGUUAAAAAUAUUCUUUGUUCCAUUGGAGGUUGCAUGUUGUUUUAU
rnacentral:lncRNA from 1 species